GAUGAACGCUGGCGGCGUGCCUAAUACAUGCAAGUCGAGCGAACAGACGAGGAGCUUGCUCCUCUGACGUUAGCGGCGGACGGGUGAGUAACACGUGGAUAACCUACCUAUAAUACUGGGAUAACUUCGGGAAACCGGAGCUAAUACCGGAUAAUAUAUUGAACCGCAUGGUUCAAUAGUGAAAGACGGUUUUGCUGUCACUUAUAGCUGGAUCCGCGCCGCAUUAGCUAGUUGGUAAGGUAACGGCUUACCAAGGCAACGAUGCGUAGCCGACCUGAGAGGGUGAUCGGCCACACUGGAACUGGGACACGGGCCAGACUCCUACGGGAGGCAGCAGUAGGGAAUUUUCCGCAAUGGGCGAAAGCCUGACGGAGCAACGCCGGGGGAGUGAUGAAGGUCUUCGGAUCGUAAAACUCUGUUAUUAGGGAAGAACAAAUGGGUAAGUAACUAUGCACGGCUUGACGGUACCUAAUCAGAAAGCCACGGCUAACUACGUG
rnacentral:rRNA from 1 species